UACGGAGGGUGCAAGCGUUAUCCGGAUUCACUGGGUUUAAAGGGUGCGUAGGUGGGCAGGUAAGUCAGUGGUGAAAUCUCCGGGCUUAACCCGGAAACUGGCGUUGAUACUAUUUGUCUUGAAUAUUGUGGAGGUAAGCGGAAUAUGUCAUGUAGCGGUGAAAUGCUUAGAUAUGACAUAGAACACUAAUUGCGAAGGCAGCUUACUACACAACGAUUGACGCUGAGGCACGAAAGCGUGGGGAGCGAACAGG
rnacentral:rRNA from 1 species